CAUGUAGGCGGUUGGAUAAGUCUGUUGUUAAAGCCCCCGGCUCAACUGGGGGAGGUCAAUGGAGACUGUCCGACUUGAGGGCAACAGGGGCACAUGGAACUCCCGGUGUAGCGGUGGAAUGCGUAGAGAUCGGGAAGAACACCCGUGGCGAAGGCGGUGUGCUGGGUUGCAACUGACGCUGAGAUGCGAAAGUGUGGGUAGCAAACGG
rnacentral:rRNA from 1 species